UACGUAGGGUGCAAGCGUUGUCCGGAAUUAUUGGGCGUAAAGAGCUCGUAGGCGGUUUGUUGCGUCGGCUGUGAAAUCCCGAGGCUCAACCUCGGGUCUGCAGUCGAUACGAGCAAACUAGAGUGUUGCAGGGGAGACUGGAAUUCCUGGUGUAGCGGUGAAAUGCGCAGAUACCAGGAGGAACACCGAUGGCGAAGGCAGGUCUCUGGGCAUUAACUGACGCUGAGGAGCGAAAGCAUGGGGAGCGAACAGG
rnacentral:rRNA from 1 species